ACUUUAAGGAUGCAUUUGUCUAUCACACAUACAUUGUUCAUAAACACUUCAUUUUUAGGGGCCUAAAAUAUACAUUUUUCAUUAUAGUUUAUGAGAUAAAAUCAAGUAAACAGAGGUUAAAGGAAGUGCAUUCCUGUUGUGUCUAUUUUUCUCCUGCGCCCCCCUCCUUUUUUUUUUUUUUUUUUGAUUUUACUUGUAUUUAAAACUGAAUGUAGCUCUCUACUUUUCUUCACAGAGAUGAAAAGGAUUUUUGACUUAUGCACAAAGAUUUCAAGCAGAAGUGCUCGUGGGUAUACUUUCAGUCAGCUCCUGCUGAUGAAAGAAUGCUCUACCUGACAGAUAAGGAAAAGCUGACAAUGGAACUGAAGCAACAAAAAAGAUUAAUCUUUAUCUGUAUCAUUCCUGAAAAAUCAAAUAUGUAGGGAAGAGUCUAAAGGACGUAAUCCAAACCACUAAAACCAAAGUCUUCUGGAGCCCAGCUAUCCAACACAGUCACUUGAUUUUCUACUAUUACCCUAGACAGUGUUCUAAGUACUCUGAGGAGAAUUUCAACAAGGUAUCAAAUGAUUUGAAAACAUUAGGUUAUUUAGAUAGCCUCUGAGCUGCUAUUUUUCUAUGCCAACUGACUUCAUAUUUCUUCGACAUUGAUGUUAAUUGUGUUAGCUAUCUAAUCAUAGUCAGCAAAGACUAAUGCCAAAAAAAUAUAAACCACUUCAGAUUUGUUGGCAACAUCUGUCAUUAGCCUUCCCUCUCC
rnacentral:lncRNA from 1 species